GCGGACAUGGCGUAAUCGGUAGCCGCGCCAGACUUAGGAUCUGGUUCCGAAAGGAGUGGGGGUUCGAGUCCCCCUGUCCGCA
rnacentral:tRNA from 1 species